GACGAACGUUGGCGGCGUGCCUAAUACAUGCAAGUCAACUGAAAUACCGGUAGCAAUACUGGUAUGGAGGUGGCGCACGGGUGAGUAACACGUAGGUAAUCUGCCUUCAGGUCUGACAUAACCCAUCGAAAGGUGAGCUAAUAUCAGAUGAUGCAGCGGCUUGACAUCAAGACAGUUGUUAAAGCUUCGGCGCCUGAAGAUGAGCCNGCGUCUGAUUAGCUAGUUGGCGGGGUAACGGCCCACCAAGGCUGCGAUCAGUAGCUGGUCUGAGAGGAUGAUCAGUCACACUGGAACUGAGACACGGUCCAGCUCCUACGGGAGCAGCAGUAAGGAAUAUUGCUCAAUGGCCGAAAGGCUGAAGCAGCAACGCCGCGUGAGGGAUGAAGGGCUUUUGCUUGUAAACCUCUGUAGCGAGAGACAAAACUCCC
rnacentral:rRNA from 1 species